GGCUGAUCUGGCUCAUUACUAGCCUACAAUGCAUCAUCAUCAUCAUCAAUAGAUAGAUAGGGCUUGAACAAUCAAAAUUAAGUAAAUGGUAAAAUAAACAUACCUUCUUCCAAAAAACUAUUGUUAGAAUUAUUUCACAAAUAAGGUAUGACUAAGGAAUUCUUCUGUAAUAUUUCAAAAACAAAAUAUUUUUUAUUCAUAAUAUUAAAACACUUUUAUUUUGUCACAGCGGUAGGUGAUAACCAAAGUCAUAUAUCACACAGCCCUAAAUUUCAAGGGCUGUGUAAUACAUGACUUUGUUUAUAUUACACAGCCCUAAACAUUGGACAGAUUUUUUUUUUUUCACUGUCUAAUGUUAUUCUCACACUCCAACUGUGCUGGGGUUUAUUCCAGAAAGCAGAUUUUUCUAAAUUGUGAGCACAAAUCUGAAUCCUGAGAUGGGAAAUUUUUCAGUUCCAUAACAGCUCAAAUGAGCUGUUUGAGUUGACUCAGUCUGUUUACUUUGAGUUAAGCAUGAAACAACAAUCCUAAGGAGAGUUAAGACAUGAGAAUUCACCAUGGCAAUGGAUAACCAAAUGGCAGAGCAUUUCUUCAAUAGAUAGAUAGAUAGAUAGAUAGAUAGAUAGAUAGAUAGAUAGAUAGAUAGAUAGAUAGAUAGAUAGAUGAACAUCAAGUAUUAUCUUAGAUAAAAAAGAGAAUCACACUUUGUUCAGUAACAGUUUCAGUUCAAGGAAAUCUGACAACAUAACUGAGUCUUCUACGCUGUAAGCCCUUUGAAAUAGUAAGUAAACAGCAACAAGUCAAUACAAAAUUAUUUGGCUGUACCAUUGAAUGUGAUUUUCCCUCUAUUGAGCUCUGAAAGUAUAAAAGCAUGAAGUGAUGUGUCAGAGCUCAUUCAGAUGGCAGGAGAGGAGAUGCAUUAAUGGGAGAAAACCUGUUUUCAAGUGGGUUGGCUGCACUGAGUGUGUUACCACAGUAAUGGAUACAGAAUUAAAUUGAACUGAACCACAGAGUUUACUUCAACAUCAACCAAGUUUUCACUAAACCCACUUUCUGGAAUACUCCCUAAUUUGUGAUAAGGGUUUUCCAUUUUCUUUACUGCUGAAUAUGAAAUUGUAAAUCCCCUACUGUUAAGAAGCAUGCUCAAAUUUUACAUGUUGGACCAUCUGUAAAAACAGAACAAAAAUUGCUUCCUUAAAUGUAAAAGUGAACAUUACAGAUUUGAGUUAUAUUUCCAUGUCACAAAUAUAUCAUACUAAUCCAACAUCAUAAACAUUUUAUACACCAUAUGGUUGCUAUUUGUUGUGGAUUAGAUAA